GGACUACUAGGGUAUCUAAUCCCGUUUGCUCCCCUGGCUUUCGCGCCUCAGCGUCAGUAGAGAUCCAGUCGAGCGCUUUCGCCACCGGCGUUCCUUCUGAUAUCAACGCAUUUCACCGCUCCACCAGAAGUUCCCUCGACCCCUAUCUCCCUCGAGCCGCUCAGUAUCCAAGGCACUUCCCCAGUUAAGCUGGGGGCUUUCACCCCGGACUUGAGCAGCCGCCUACGCGCCCUUUAAGCCCAGUGAUUCCGAACAACGUUCGCACGGUUCGUCUUACCGCGGCUGCUGGCAC
rnacentral:rRNA from 1 species